rnacentral:rRNA from 1 species
GAUGAACGCUGGCGGCGUGCCUAAUACAUGCAAGUCGAGCGAACAGACGAGGAGCUUGCUCCUCUGACGUUAGCGGCGGACGGGUGAGUAACACGUGGAUAACCUACCUAUAAGACUGGGAUAACUUCGGGAAACCGGAGCUAAUACCGGAUAAUAUAUUGAACCGCAUGGUUCAAUAGUGAAAGACGGUUUUGCUGUCACUUAUAGAUGGAUCCGCGCCGCAUUAGCUAGUUGGUAAGGUAACGGCUUACCAAGGCAACGAUGCGUAGCCGACCUGAGAGGGUGAUCGGCCACACUGGAACUGAGACACGGUCCAGACUCCUACGGGAGGCAGCAGUAGGGAAUCUUCCGCAAUGGGCGAAAGCUUGACGGAGCAACGCCGCGUGAGUGACGAAGGUCUUCGGAUCGUAAAACUCUGUUAUUAGGGAAGAACAAAUGUGUAAGUAACUAUGCACGUCUUGACGGUACCUAAUCAGGAAGCCACGGCUAACUACGUG